rnacentral:rRNA from 1 species
AUUGAACGCUGGCGGCAGGCCUAACACAUGCAAGUCGAACGAGUUGCGGACGGGUGAGUAAUGUCUGGGAAACUGCCUGAUGGAGGGGGAUAACUACUGGAAACGGUAGCUAAUACCGCAUACCAUCAGAUGUGCCCACAUGGGAUUAGCUUGUUGUGGUGGGAACGGCUAAUCAAGGCGACGAUCCCUAGCUGGUCUGAGAGGAUGACCAGCCACACUGGAACUGAGACACGGUCCAGACUCCUACGGGAGGCAGCAGUGGGGAAUAUUGCACAAUGGGCGAAAGCCUGAUGCAGCCAUGCCGCGUGUAUGAAGAAGGCCGUCGGGUUGUAAAGUACUCUCAGCGGGGAGGCGUUACCCGCAGAAGAAGCACCGGCUAACUCCGUGCCAGCAGCCGCGGUAAUAC